rnacentral:lncRNA from 1 species
UUGCACUUAGAUCACUCAAAUACUUAAAACAAUCUCCUAGCAAAGAAGUUUUGAUAGGUAAAGGUUCUUGUCCAGAUUGAAAGCAUAUGCCGAUUCAGAUUGGGCAAAGUGUAUAGAUACUUGAAAGUCCGCCACAGGGUUCCAUGUUUUUUUAAGAGAUUCUUUGGUCUCUUGGAAAAACUAAAAACAAAGUAUAGUGUAUCGGUCAUCAGUUGAAGCUGAGUAUAGAGCAAUGUGUGCAUUAAGCUGUGAGGUUAUGUGGCUUAUAAAUGUGUUGAAAGAGUUGCAUGUUGAAGUCCGAUUACUGUUCCAUUAUGUUUUGAUAGUAGAACAGCAGUUGUUUCUGCUGUUAAUUCUGUUUCUCAAGAAAGAAUAAAAUAUUUCAAACUUGAUUUGUUUUUUCCUAAGAAAAAAAAAUAAAUGGAAUUAUUAACACUGUUAAUAUUGAGUCAAAGAAUAAGCUUGCUAAUAUUUUAUACAAAAAGUCUUUUAAUAGCUCAACAUGAGAUUUGUAAAAAACUUCAGGUUAAUAAUUUGUUUAGCUUUUGAAUUGGAGGGGGGGGGGUUAAAAAUAUAACAUACAUACUCUUGGGCUUGGAUCUCGUUAUAGUGGGAUUGCAGACCGAUUAGAAGAGUUGAAGGGUCCGACCAGGUUUUUAACAGGUCAUGGAUCUUAUAAAUGGCCUCCUUAUGUGCAUUAUUGGCUCAUUCAGAUAUUUGACAGCUUACACUUUCUCUUUUUAGGGUAUCUCAUCGAAACCCUUGAUUUAGGGCAUAUUGAUCUUGUGUUGUUAUUCAGAUCGUUAGUUUGUUUGUAGAUUGUGAGUGAGAGUUUAUAAGAUCUAGUUGAUGAUGUGUGUUGUAUUAGUUCUAGAUCUGUUUCAGGUUUUGUGAUCUGUUGAAUAAAGUUGUUCAGUUGUUUCUUUCAUCUGAAAUACCAGUUUUGACACUAUAGACUAUAGCAAUUGGACUUCAUGCAUAUAUGGAAUAAGAACUUAUUGAUAUUUUAA